GACGAACGCUGGCGGCGUGCCUAAUACAUGCAAGUCGAACGCACAGUUUAUACCGUAGCUUGCUACACCAUAGACUGUGAGUUGCGAACGGGUGAGUAACGCGUAGGUAACCUGCCUGGUAGCGGGGGAUAACUAUUGGAAACGAUAGCUAAUACCGCAUAAUAUUGAUUAUUGCAUGAUAAUUAAUUGAAAGGUGCAAUUGCACCACUACCAGAUGGCCCUGCGUUGUAUUAGCUAGUAGGUGAGGUAACGGCUCACCUAGGCGACGAUACAUAGCCGACCUGAGAGGGUGAUCGGCCACACUGGGAAUGAGACACGGCCCAGAAUCCUACGGGAGGCAGCAGUAGGGAAUCUUCGGCAAUGGACGAAAGUCUGACCGAGCAACGCCGCGGGAGGGAAGAAGGUUUUCGGAUCGGAAAGCUCUGUUGUAAGAGAAGAACGGGUGUGAGAGUGGAAAGUUCACACUGUGACGGUAUCUUACCAGAAAGGGACGGCUAACUACGUG
rnacentral:rRNA from 1 species